UACGUAGGGGGCUAGCGUUGUCCGGAAUCAUUGGGCGUAAAGCGCGCGUAGGCGGCCAGAUAAGUCCGGUGUGAAAGUCACAGGCUCAACCUGUGGAUGCCGCUGGAAACUGUUUGGCUCGAGUCCGGAAGGGGCGAGUGGAAUUCCUGGUGUAGCGGUGAAAUGCGCAGAUAUCAGGAGGAACACCAAUGGCGAAGGCAGCUCGCUGGGACGUUACUGACGCUGAGACGCGAAAGCGUGGGGAGCAAACAGG
rnacentral:rRNA from 1 species